AGCAGCCGCGGUAAUUCCAGCUCCAAUAGCGUAUAUUAAAGUUGCUGCAGUUAAAAAGCUCGUAGUUGAAUUUCGGGAUCAAUAUGUCGGUCGUGCCUCGGUACGUACUGGCUCAUUGGUUUCUCCCUUCUGACGAACCAUGAUGCCAUUAAUUUGGUGUCAUGGGAAAUCAGGACUGUUACUUUGAAAAAUUAGAGUGUUUAAAGCAGGCUCACGCUUGAAUACAUUAGCAUGGAAUAAUGAAAUAGGACGUUUGAUUCUAUUUUGUUGGUUUCUAGGAUUCGACGUAAUGAUUAAUAGGGAUAGUUGGGGGCAUUAGUAUUCAAUUGUCAGAGGUGAAAUUCUUGGAUUUAUUGAAGUACUAACUACCGCGAAAG
rnacentral:rRNA from 1 species